UUUCGUGUGUGUUUUUGUGAAGGUUUGAGCUUUGUUUUAAUGGAGAGAAGAUGGUGAAGUCGGGAAAUGAAACGGAUACGAAUGGCGUGGACAGUGAUAAUAACAACAAUAACAAUAACAGUAAUAACAAUAUGAUGGAUGUAUUCAGAUGGUCUUUGUGUAAGAAGCCUCUUCCUCAGACGCUUAUGUGCUCCAUCGGCAUCCCUUUGCCGCCUGAACAUCUAAAGCUUAUUGGGUCGAUUUGAUGUAUGACGGUGUUUGAAGUGCUGUUAUCCGAGGACGAUCAGGUGGUGUUGGAGUAACAUAAUUUAGAGUAAUUUUGCAGCUCAUUUCUCAAUCCGGUUGGCAUGCUUCAGUUAUGCUUCAUACUACACUUUAUCUAUGGUGUCGAGGCUUCCGUUUGUGGCGUUCUCACCGUUAUCGCCGUUCAGAUGUCAUCUUCAUCGGUCGUUUGGGUAAUUUAUUUAUGGUGUCUAGGCUUCUGUUUG